rnacentral:lncRNA from 1 species
GGAGCAGCGAGGCGGCGGAGCGGAGCGGAGCGAGGCUCCCGCGGCGGGGGCGGCCCCGCUCUGCGCCGGGCCGGGGGCGCUGCCCACGCCGGAGAACUAAUACAACUGUUCAGCUCUCCCCCGAGAAUGGUGCAAAGUAAAUAUAGGAGUUCCUGAAAAAUAACAGUGUGAAUGAGAGAGACUCUCUGCAGUAUUUAGUGUCCAGUUGUACUGGCUC